UACGUAGGGUCCGAGCGUUGUCCGGAGUGACUGGGCGUAAAGCGCGCGCAGGCGGCCGUGUAGGCACGACGUGAAAGCCCCGGGCUCAACCCGGGAGGGUCGUCGUGAACCGCAGGCUUGAGGCCGGUAGAGGUGGGUGGAACUCCUGGUGGAGUGGUGAAAUGCGUAGAGAUCAGGAAGAACACCCGUGGCGAAGGCGGCCCACUGGGCCGGUACUGACGCUGAGGCGCGAAGGCGUGGGGAGCGAACGGGAUUGA
rnacentral:rRNA from 1 species